UACGUAGGGUGCGAGCGUUGCCCGGAUUUAUUGGGCGUAAAGGGCGCGUAGGCGGUCACGCACGUCCGUUGUGAAAUCGCUCGGCUCAACUGGGCGGGGUCAGCGGAUACGGUGUGACUGGAGCAAGCUAGGGGGCAAUGGAAUUUACGGUGUAGCGGUGAAAUGCGUAGAUAUCGUAAGGAAGACCAGUGGCGAAGGCGGGUCUCUGGACAGUUCCUGAUGCUGAGGCACGAAGGCCAGGGGAGCAAACGGG
rnacentral:rRNA from 1 species